rnacentral:rRNA from 1 species
UGGGGAAUAUUGGAUAAUGGGCGAAAGCCUGAUCCAGCCAUGCCGCGUGUGUGAAGAAGGUCUUCGGAUUGUAAAGCACUUUAAGUUGGGAGGAAGGGCAUUAACCUAAUACGUUAGUGUUUUGACGUUACCGACAGAAUAAGCACCGGCUAACUCUGUGCCAGCAGCCGCGGUAAUACAGAGGGUGCAAGCGUUAAUCGGAAUUACUGGGCGUAAAGCGCGCGUAGGUGGUUUGUUAAGUUGGAUGUGAAAUCCCCGGGCUCAACCUGGGAACUGCAUUCAAAACUGACUGACUAGAGUAUGGUAGAGGGUGGUGGAAUUUCCUGUGUAGCGGUGAAAUGCGUAGAUAUAGGAAGGAACACCAGUGGCGAAGGCGACCACCUGGACUAAUACUGACACUGAGGUGCGAAAGCGUGGGGAGCAAACA